GGUAUAAUAGUGAAAGGGGCCACUUGUACUUCCAUUCCUUGGUUUCCAGAUUCAUUCUUUCUAGCCAUUACAGAUUAGUACCAUAUAUUGGUCUUUAUUUCAAAGUGUAUAAUAACCUGGAGGACUGUGCCACAACCCUGUGAGAUGUUGUCACCUCGCUUUGCCUUAUCUGAGUCUCAACAGGCUUUUCCACGAUAUUAUCAGGAACACCAUGCUAUGUUAGCCGAGCACCAUGAGUCCCUGCAGAGAAGGUCAUCCUGAUUGCCCCUCUACCUUGCUGUCUGUUGUGGUAUGAACAGCCCCUCAUCAUCCCAGGUAGAGGAUGAACAACUCAUCAUCCCGGGUAGAGGCAGGUAAGUGUGUCCAGCGUCCCUCAGGGAAUGCUCUUCUGAUGCCAAAUCCUCUGCUUCCGCGGGGUCACUUCUCGGGUGGUUUUGUUUCUCCUCUGCUUCCACAGUUGCGAACCCUCGAAGUGCCACGACCCCUGGGGAAACUCGAUCUUAAGUCCCAUGGCCAAACGCUCCAGCCCGCGGGGCUCCCAGGACACCACAGCGAUCGGAUUUCGCGUGGCCGCCAGACUCCCCC
rnacentral:lncRNA from 1 species